UAAUACAUCGGAACGUGUCCCGUAGUGGGGGAUAGCCCGGCGAAAGCCGGAUUAAUACCGCAUAUGCUCUACGGAGGAAAGUGGGGGAUCGCAAGACCUCACGCUAUGGGAGCGGCCGAUGUCCGAUUAGCUAGUUGGUAGGGUAAUGGCCUACCAAGGCGACGAUCGGUAGCUGGUCUGAGAGGAUGAUCAGCCACACUGGGACUGAGACACGGCCCAG
rnacentral:rRNA from 1 species